GCUCACUUUGUCAGCACAUACUAAAAUUGUAAUGAUACAGAGAAUAUUAGCAUAGCCCCAGCAUAAGGAUGACAUGCAAAUUUGUGAAGCAUUCCAAAAUUAU
ensembl:snRNA U6 U6 spliceosomal RNA